ensembl:snoRNA
ACUGGUGACAGCCAAUGAUGACUUAAAUUUUUGCCAUUUACCCAGCAGAGGGUUUCUUUGAAGAAAUCAUUUUAAGACUGAGAUGCCAGU